UGGGCGCCCUGGGGCCCGGCGAGGCCUUGAGGCGACGGCACUCUUACGAGGACAAGCCCUUCACCUUCAGACCUAAUGAGGCGAGGGAACAGCAUGUACAAAGGCCCAGCGGCAGGAGGGUGUGCGGGUUCCUCGCUCUUCCCCCCUCCACUCUUGAAGAAACCAAUUGCCUUGAGAGUGCGGCGGACCUGGUGCAAGUCUUGGCUAUCACUUUUGAGUUGUGUGACCCUAGAGCUGGGCAGGAGACAGGAGAGUCUGAACAGAAGACUUGGGCCACAAAGCACAAACAAAGGGAUGGGAGACGGUUCAAAGAAGAAAAAGCAGUGAUUCCUUGGAGGCACACAGACGUCAUCUCCCUCCCUCCUUCCC